rnacentral:miRNA from 1 species
UUUCAUAGAAUCAUAAAAUUG